rnacentral:lncRNA from 10 species
GCCAUGUAGAAAUAGGAUUGGACAAAAAAGGUAUGAUAGCUUGCUUUGGCAGCACAUACUAAAAUUGGAACAAUGCAACAAUGUAGAGGAGAUUAGCAUGGCCCCUUUACCAGGAUGGCACGCAAUUUAGUGAAGCGCUACAUAAAAAUAAAAAUUUUAAAUUUAAAAAAAUGGUAUCAUCUAAUGCUAAUGGACAAUAGUGAAACCCAGCAAGUCCUGUCUGUUUAGAUCUUAUUUGGCCUCUCUGUGCAGCAAUUCCUUGCUCCUGGGUAUGAGGCAGUGCUCGCUCUCUCUCUCUCUCUCUCUCUCUCUCUCUCUCUUUCUCUCUCUCUGUCUCUCUGGAAUGGGGUUCUUAUGACCUACAGUCAAACAAAGUAGACCUGAGAAUUUAUUUAUGACCCACUCUUACACAGAAAGGUGGAGUCACAGGGAAGUUAGAAAAAUAUGUUUAGGUUUUAUAGCUGGCUUUGGAGAAAAGGGGUUCUGGUUUCCAUGACCCGCCUUAGGGAAGAGAUAUUGUAGUUUCUACAGCUAACCUUGGGGAAGAAUGAAGUACCAGCCACCUGACACAGGAAGGCAGGAGGAGGUCAGAGAAAAACUUUUACUUCUGAGGCUACUUCUGAG